GCCCCGUUCGUCUAAUGGUUCAGGAUCGUGGACCUUCAAUCCACGGGUAGGAGUUCGAAUCUCCUACGGGGUG
rnacentral:tRNA from 1 species